rnacentral:rRNA from 1 species
ACUCCUACGGGAGGCAGCAGUGGGGAAUAUUGCACAAUGGGCGCAAGCCUGAUGCAGCCAUGCCGCGUGUAUGAAGAAGGCCUUCGGGUUGUAAAGUACUUUCAGCAGUGAGGAAGGCGGAGUCGUUAAUAGCGGCCUCGUUUGACGUUAGCUGCAGAAGAAGCACCGGCUAACUCCGUGCCAGCAGCCGCGGUAAUACGGAGGGUGCGAGCGUUAAUCGGAAUUACUGGGCGUAAAGCGCAUGCAGGUGGUUUGUUAAGUCAGAUGUGAAAGCCCGGGGCUCAACCUCGGAAUUGCAUUUGAAACUGGCAGACUAGAGUACUGUAGAGGGGGGUAGAAUUUCAGGUGUAGCGGUGAAAUGCGUAGAGAUCUGAAGGAAUACCGGUGGCGAAGGCGGCCCCCUGGACAGAUACUGACACUCAGAUGCGAAAGCGUGGGGAGCAAACAGGAUUAGAUACCCUGGUAGCACA